CAACAGAGUUACAAACUUCCAUGUUGGAAACAAGAGUCUCCUGGGCUAAAGAAACUUGAAGCAGCUGGAAAUGCCAGCAGGGUCUCCCCUCCACUCUAUCGGGCCUCUCGCAGUGGAACUGAGGAGAAAAACUUCAGUAACCAUGGUAACUUGACACCAGGCUGUUUCGCCUUUUCCUGCUGUGAUGAAAACAGGGAGAGAUCUGCCAAAUCAGUACUGUAAAUCUCCAAGAGACCCUUCUCAAGAACAUUGCCAGCUGGGAUUGAAUAGGUGGGAUUAUGACAAUUCUGCAACAGCUCUGUUUCUGAUGAAGAAAAGUUCUCCCCCUUUGGUGACCUGUAAGCACUACCUGAACCUCUCACCUGAUGUUCAGCUUGUGCAUUUGUAACUGCUUUUCAGUGGUCAUAAAUCCUUUAUUAGACAGUCAAUUAUAUACAGCU